rnacentral:lncRNA from 1 species
AAAAUUUGGAUCACAUAAUUUCCUUGCAAAAUGAAACAAAUUGCUGUUUUAAAAAAUAGGGGUCCAUGCACUCGUUUUCAAAUUAAAUCAGUUUGAAUGAUAAAAAUCAGUCGAAAAAUGCAUCUUUUACCGAUAUGUCAUAGUUUGACGUCGCGAAAAUAUCAUUUUACGUUAGCAACGUCAUUACAUUCCCUGUAACUGUAUCGUAUGCCCUUAAUAUAAAU